GCGGACGUAGCUCAGCUGGUAGAGCGCAACCUUGCCAAGGUUGAGGUCGCGAGUUCGAACCUCGUCGUCCGCUC
rnacentral:tRNA from 6 species